CCAAAGGUGGCGAAUCCAAAGCGGAUAAAAGGAAGCAAUUCUUUUUCACUUUUUCACUCCGUGCUUAAUUAGGCUGCCACAGGAAAACACUCAGGCCAAAAUUUAGCAGGAUUCAAGGAGGGAUUGGGCAUUUAUGGGGAUGAAAAAAAAUACCCAGCUAUAAUAGCGGGUGCCAACACAAAUUCUGGAAGGGAUAUUCAGCCUCACGCGUCAGGGUGUAAACCUAUCCCAAACUCUCAGAAAGGAGGGAGCUUAACGCAGGGAAGAUGACCCACAUAUGCCAUCACUACUGACACCACCUCCUCACCGGCUGGACCCCCUUCCUGCUGCCGGCAGCACCUCUGACAAGGGCUGUGAUUUCUCUUGGCAAUUCAGCCCUUUGCCGGUAGCUUUCCAGGGCUCUGACCUGCUCCAUCUCACCUAUCCCCUCCCUUUGCCAGCUGAUAACAGCAUUAUCACUUCAGCCCACAGGCAGUCCCUCUGGGUAAGGGUCUGUGUGGACCAUGGGUAUGUCCCUGCGUGGUGCGGCAUCUUCUCAUGGCUGCUUGCUUCCACCCAAGCCCCUCGGUUCUCUCUGUUUCUUGACCAAACGCACUUUCUCCUCCUGAUUUCAUCCCUCCUGUUCCCUGUUCCUGCUGGGGCUGGUCUCCGGCCUCCGAAAGGGGCUGCUCAGCUCCAGCAUCUUGUGGGUGCUGCACAUACACAGGCACAGCCCCACUUUCAUGGGCACUGCUCAGAUGAGCUCUGGUUCGUGCCUUGUGCAGAACCUUCCUCACUGGCACUACAUCACUGGCAAUCACUGUCCUGCCUGCUCCUGGCCUAAAAACCUGCCGUCAACCCCAACCCAUGCGUGGCCAUGAGCCUGGCAUGGCUGCAGCCCAGGAUGGGGUGAAACCACCAUGUUUUGGUACCCAGGAGCUGGGUACAAGCAUCUCCAUCCCCACCAAGGAUGGUACCAUUGCAUCCCACACUGCUUGUUGACAGGACACCGUGCUGCUCUGGUCCCUGCGCAAUGGGAUGCUCCCGAAUCCUUGGCUGCUGUUAAGGAUCAGACAUCAGUGCAACCAGAGGGGAGCCUGGAGCUAUCCUGGUCAGGGUCCAGGGUCUCUCGUGCUCACUGCGCUGCCGAGGGCAACCCCGCUGGGGUCCCUUGGAUCUCCCCUCGCUGCGGAGCCUCGCACCCACCGGGGCUUCCAACUGGAGACAUUUCUGGAGGGCAUGAAUCAGCUUUUCACAGCUUGUUAAAAAUCUUGAUCCUACCUCUUGUUUUCAUGCCUUUCAAAUCAGGAAAUGAGUUUUACAACUUUUCCAGUGGGGCACAGCUGGUGGCCAGGGUCGUAAAGCUGAACUUUAUAAAUAUCUCUUGUUGGGAUCAGGAGAAGAGCAUUAAAAAGGCGCUCAGAGAGAGUGAGAGAGAUUGAAGGGAAGAAGCAAAGGCGAUAGAGAAGCAAGGCAACCUCAGCAAAGAAGCCCAGCUCAACACUGACCAUGGCCAUGCGAGCACAGAAGAUGGGGUGUGCUUGGCUUUGCCUGCUGCUCUCCCUCCUCCUCCAGCUGCCGGGCUCCCAGGCCAAAUGCUACUUCCAAGCUAAAGCUCCCUGCGAGUACGAGGGGAAGCAGUUCUCCCUCGGGGAGUCGUGGCUGAGCACCAACUGCCUGCUCUGUACCUGCCUGCACCCCAUCGGCGUGGGCUGCUGCGAGACCACUCAGCACCCCAUUGACUUCCCUGACUGGUGUGAAGCCCACUACGACUCGCAGACAUGCCAGAUCUCGGUGGUGCAGAAGGCCAACCCCAGCCUGCCCUGCGUGAAGAGCCUGGAGCACGAGUGGGGCUCAUCCGGCACCCCUGAGCCUCUCAUCAACAAGGUGCUGGGUGCAAGGCUGAGCAGAUAGAGGCUCAGCAGCACCCUGUGCCCCCCUCCCUGGCAUCACCCUCCACACCUCCCGCAUGCUCCAGACCUGCCCCAUCCCGUCACUGCUGCCACCUUUGAGGGAAACCACUAUCCACACACUAUGGUACUGAGUUAACAUUUACACCCUAGCGCUGCCACAGUACGGCUUUGCUUCUGCCUUCAGCUCCCUGGACAGAAUCAGGGCCCCCUUCCCAAGAGUUGCUCUGCAUAGCAUGGGAAGGUAGAUCCUAUGGGAUCUCCUCCCAGGUGGGCAGGAAACCUCCAGCUACUAAAGAAAGGACUACAGGACCAAAUAGUCUUGGACUGCACUCCCGCAUCCAGCCUCAAGCUAAGCAGCUCCUGGGGCUGGAGGGGAUCCCCAGCACUGCAGGCCAGCCCCGGGCAACACUGCAACGGAGCCAGCCCAGAGCGGGCGGCAGAGCAGGGGAACCACUAGAAGAUGUCCCCAAGGGAGGCCCCAAUGCCCUGCUGCAGGGAAGCUGGGUGCCCUGCUGGGGUUCGGGGAGCUGAAGUUAAUCCACAUGUGCCAGGAUGGAGCUGGCCAUCCUGGCAGCCUGCCCCUGCUGGUGCCAUGCCUUGUGCUGCGCAGAGCCUUGUGUAGAUGUUUCUGUUCUUGCAAUAAAGGUAUUAAACAAA